rnacentral:rRNA from 1 species
AUGAACGCUAGCGACAGGCUUAACACAUGCAAGUCGAGGGGCAGCACAGGUAGCAAUACCGGGUGGCGACCGGCGCACGGGUGAGUAACGCGUAUGCAACUUGCCUAUCAGAGGGGGAUAACCCGGCGAAAGUCGGACUAAUACCGCAUGAAGCAGGGAUCCCGCAUGGGGAUAUUUGCUAAAGAUUCAUCGCUGAUAGAUAGGCAUGCGUUCCAUUAGGCAGUUGGCGGGGUAACGGCCCACCAAACCGACGAUGGAUAGGGGUUCUGAGAGGAAGGUCCCCCACAUUGGUACUGAGACACGGACCAAACUCCUACGGGAGGCAGCAGUGAGGAAUAUUGGUCAAUGGCCGAGAGGCUGAACCAGCCAAGUCGCGUGAGGGAUGAAGGUUCUAUGGAUCGUAAACCUCUUUUAUAAGGGAAUAAAGUGCGGGACGUGUCCCGUUUUGUAUGUACCUUAUGAAUAAGGAUCGGCUAACUCCGUGCCAGCAGCCGCGGUAAUACGGAGGAUCCGAGCGUUAUCCGGAUUUAUUGGGUUUAAAGGGUGCGUAGGCGGCCUUUUAAGUCAGCGGUGAAAGUCUGUGGCUCAACCAUAGAAUUGCCGUUGAAACUGGGGGGCUUGAGUAUGUUUGAGGCAGGCGGAAUGCGUGGUGUAGCGGUGAAAUGCAUAGAUAUCACGCAGAACCCCGAUUGCGAAGGCAGCCUGCCAAGCCAUUACUGACGCUGAUGCACGAAAGCGUGGGGAUCAAACAGGAUUAGAUACCCUGGUAGUCCACGCCGUAAACGAUGAUUACUAGGUGUGGGGGGAUUGACCCCUUCCGUGCCGGAGUAAACACAAUAAGUAAUCCACCUGGGGAGUACGACCGCAAGGUUGAAACUCAAAGGAAUUGACGGGGGCCCGCACAAGCAGUGGAGUAUGUGGUUUAAUUCGAAGCAACGCGAAGAACCUUACCAGGGCUUGACAUAUAGAUGAAUAACUAAGAGAUUAGUUAGUCCUUCGGGACAUCUAUACAGGUGGUGCAUGGUUGUCGUCAGCUCGUGCCGUGAGGUGUCGGCUUAAGUGCCAUAACGAGCGCAACCCUUGCCACUAGUUACUAACAGGUAAAGCUGAGGACUCUGGUGGGACUGCCAGCGUAAGCUGCGAGGAAGGCGGGGAUGACGUCAAAUCAGCACGGCCCUUACAUCCGGGGCGACACACGUGUUACAAUGGCGUGGACAAAGGGAAGCCACCUGGCGACAGGGAGCGAAUCCCCAAACCACGUCUCAGUUCGGAUCGGAGUCUGCAACCCGACUCCGUGAAGCUGGAUUCGCUAGUAAUCGCGCAUCAGCCAUGGCGCGGUGAAUACGUUCCCGGGCCUUGUACACACCGCCCGUCAAGCCAUGGGAGCCGGGGGUACCUGAAGUCCGUAACCGCGAGGAUCGGCCUAGGGUAAAACUGGUGACUGGGGCU